UAUUUUUCUCAACUUCUGAAAAUAUUCUUCACUUGAAUUUAUCCCUGAAUAGUUACACACCAGUAUGAGAAAUUGUGGUACCAACAUCCUUGCUCUCUCCAGAACAAAAGGAACAGAAACUCAGGACACAUACCAGAGUGAUAAAAAGAUUGGCUGUGAUCCUUCUCAGCAUGCAAAGAAAAUUGAAAGCAUGACAAAGUUAAGGACACUGGAGAGCAUCUAAUGAGAAAAAUGUUCUCUGAACUUUGAAAAAAAA